rnacentral:rRNA from 1 species
GUAACAAGGUCUCCGUUGGUGAACCAGCGGAGGGAUCAUUACCGAGUUUACAACUCCCAAACCCCUGUGAACAUACCUAUACGUUGCCUCGGCGGAUCAGCCCGCGCCCCGUAAAACGGGACGGCCCGCCCGAGGACCCCUAAACUCUGUUUUUAGUGGAACUUCUGAGUAAAACAAACAAAUAAAUCAAAACUUUCAACAACGGAUCUCUUGGUUCUGGCAUCGAUGAAGAACGCAGCAAAAUGCGAUAAGUAAUGUGAAUUGCAGAAUUCAGUGAAUCAUCGAAUCUUUGAACGCACAUUGCGCCCGCCAGUAUUCUGGCGGGCAUGCCUGUUCGAGCGUCAUUUCAACCCUCAAGCUCAGCUUGGUGUUGGGACUCGCGGUAACCCGCGUUCCCCAAAUCGAUUGGCGGUCACGUCGAGCUUCCAUAGCGUAGUAAUCAUACACCUCGUUACUGGUAAUCGUCGCGGCCACGCCGUAAAACCCCAACUUCUGAAUGUUGACCUCGGAU